GCAUACAUAAUGGUUUGUACCACUUUGAUCUUUGCAACUCCAGCUGAUUCAAGAAUGGUGAUUUUUCAGCCACGGUUUGUGCUGCUCAAUUGAAGUCCUCAGUUGAUAAUAGUUGUGUUUUUGGUUUUUGGCAUAAGAGACUUGGCCACCCUUGUAAUAAGACUAUUAUGGCAGUUCUUCAUAAGAAUAAUAUUGCUUUUAACACUUGUAAGUUGUCAUCAAUAUGUUUUACAUGUUAACUUGGCAAAUCCUAUAAGCUACCUUUUUCUCCUUCCA
rnacentral:lncRNA from 1 species